rnacentral:lncRNA from 1 species
CAAUAAUAUAUUUAUAUAAUGGGAGUAAUUAUCGAGAAUAGAGUUCUAUCAAAACUGACAAGAUAAAUAGGUUAAGGCCCCUGAUUAUCAUGAUAAUUGAAUGAUUAUUAUUUAUGAACAUGGUCCUUUAUCAUCGGCCAUUACGGUACUCGAUGAUAAGUAUAACAGAUGUUGUAAUUGGACAAAUUGCCCGAAUGAUAGAUAUAUCGAAGAGUUACGAAGAAGUAGAGCAACUAAACAAACAGAAAAUCGACCCCAUAUGUUUUCAUCAAAAGAGUUGGGUGGCCCCACUCGGCCCUUAACACGUAAACAAAGACCGGUUGCAUUUCGCCUUGGACUUUAGAUGCAAAGAAGAAAUUCAAUUCUCCCUUUCAUGUGAUCAAGUAAAGAUUCAAAUGAAUGCGGAAAUAAAUUCUCAUAGGUCUGCUGUAUAUAUAUAUAUAUACAUACACACACACGUACACACACACUUAUUUAACAGAUU